UACGUAGGGGGCAAGCGUUGUCCGGAAUUAUUGGGCGUAAAGAGCGCGUAGGCGGUCCGAUAAGUCGGCUGUGAAAGUCAGGGGCUCAACCCUUGAAAGCCGGCCGAUACUGUCGGACUAGAGUCCGGAAGAGGCAAGUGGAAUUCCCGGUGUAGCGGUGAAAUGCGCAGAUAUCGGGAGGAACACCGGUGGCGAAGGCGGCGACCUGGGUCGAUACUGACGCUGAGGUGCGAAAGCGUGGGGAGCAAACAGG
rnacentral:rRNA from 1 species